UGGUAGAUGCACCCUGAUAAUCCAUUCCCUAGUUGGCUGCCACCUGCUAGGGUUUUCUAUU
rfam:Mastigocoleus testarum BC008 Contig-87, whole genome shotgun sequence.